AUUGAACGCUGGCGGCAGGCCUAACACAUGCAAGUCGAGCGGAUGAAGGGAGCUUGCUCCUGGAUUCAGCGGCGGACGGGUGAGUAAUGCCUAGGAAUCUGCCUGGUAGUGGGGGAUAACGUCCGGAAACGGGCGCUAAUACCGCAUACGUCCUGAGGGAGAAAGUGGGGGAUCUUCGGACCUCACGCUAUCAGAUGAGCCUAGGUCGGAUUAGCUAGUUGGUGGGGUAAAGGCCUACCAAGGCGACGAUCCGUAACUGGUCUGAGAGGAUGAUCAGUCACACUGGAACUGAGACACGGUCCAGACUCCUACGGGAGGCAGCAGUGGGGAAUAUUGGACAAUGGUCGAAAGCCUGAUCCAGCCAUGCCGCGUGUGUGAAGAAGGUCUUCGGAUUGUAAAGCACUUUAAGUUGGGAGGAAGGGCAGUAAGUUAAUACCUUGCUGUUUUGACGUUACCAACAGAACAAGCACCGGCUAACUUCGUG
rnacentral:rRNA from 1 species